UGGAGGACCGAACCGACUAAUGUUGAAAAAUUAGCGGAUGACUUGUGGCUAGGGGUGAAAGGCCAAUCAAACUCGGAGAUAGCUGGUUCUCCCCGAAAGCUAUUUAGGUAGCGCCUCGGACGAAUACUACUGGGGGUAGAGCACUGUUAAGGCUAGGGGGUCAUCCCGACUUACCAACCCUUUGCAAACUCCGAAUACCAGUAAGUACUAUCCGGGAGACACACGGCGGGUGCUAACGUCCGUCGUGGAGAGGGAAACAACCCAGACCGCCAGCUAAGGUCCCAAAUUACUACUAAGUGGGAAACGAUGUGGGAAGGCUCAGACAGCCAGGAUGUUGGCUUAGAAGCAGCCAUCAUUUAAAGAAAGCGUAAUAGCUCACUGGUCGAGUCGGCCUGCGCGGAAGAUGUAACGGGGCUAAGUAGUAAACCGAAGCUGCGGCUGCAAUCGCAAGAUUGUGGGGUAGGGGAGCGUUCUGUAAGCCGUUGAAGGUGUGUUGUAAAGCAUGCUGGAGGUAUCAGAAGUGCGAAUGCUGACAUGAGUAACGAUAAUGGGGGUGAAAAACCCCCACGCCGGAAGACCAAGGGUUCCUGUCCAACGUUAAUCGGGGCAGGGUAAGUCGACCCCUAAGGCGAGGCUGAAAAGCGUAGUCGAUGGGAAACGGGUUAAUAUUCCCGUACUGCUUAUAAUUGCGAUGGGGGGACGGAGAAGGCUAGGUGGGCCUGGCGACGGUUGUCCAGGUUCAAGUGCGUAGGCUAAGAGACUAGGUAAAUCCGGUUUCUUGUUAGGCUGAGACACGACGUCGAGCACCUACGGGUGUGAAGUCAUUGAUGCCAUGCUUCCAGGAAAAGCCUCUAAGCUUCAGAUUAUAAGCAAUCGUACCCCAAACCGACACAGGUGGUCGGGUAGAGAAUACCAAGGCGCUUGAGAGAACUCGGGUGAAGGAACUAGGCAAAAUGGUACCGUAACUUCGGGAGAAGGUACGCUCUUGGCGGUGAAGUCCCUAGCGGAUGGAGCUACUGAGAGUCGCAGAUACCAGGUGGCUGCAACUGUUUAUUAAAAACACAGCACUGUGCAAAAUCGUAAGAUGACGUAUACGGUGUGACGCCUGCCCGGUGCCGGAAGGUUAAUUGAUGGGGUUAGACUUAGGUCGAAGCUCUUGAUCGAAGCCCCGGUAAACGGCGGCCGUAACUAUAACGGUCCUAAGGUAGCGAAAUUCCUUGUCGGGUAAGUUCCGACCUGCACGAAUGGCGUAAUGAUGGCCACGCUGUCUCCACCCGAGACUCAGUGAAAUUGAAAUCGCUGUGAAGAUGCAGUGUACCCGCGGCUAGACGGAAAGACCCCGUGAACCUUUACUACAGCUUGGCACUGAACAUUGAACCUACAUGUGUAGGAUAGGUGGGAGACUUAGAAGCGCAGUCGCUAGAUUGCGUGGAGUCGUCCUUGAAAUACCACCCUUGUAGUUUUGAUGUUCUAACGUUGGCCCCUAAUCGGGGUUGCGGACAGUGCCUGGUGGGUAGUUUGACUGGGGCGGUCUCCUCCCAAAGAGUAACGGAGGAGCACGAAGGUGGGCUAAACACGGUUGGACAUCGUGUGGUUAGUGCAAUGGCAUAAGCCCGCUUAACUGCGAGAAUGACAAUUCGAGCAGGUACGAAAGUAGGUCAUAGUGAUCCGGUGGUUCUGAAUGGAAGGGCCAUCGCUCAACGGAUAAAAGGUACUCCGGGGAUAACAGGCUGAUACCGCCCAAGAGUUCAUAUCGACGGCGGUGUUUGGCACCUCGAUGUCGGCUCAUCACAUCCUGGGGCUGAAGUCGGUCCCAAGGGUAUGGCUGUUCGCCAUUUAAAGUGGUACGCGAGCUGGGUUUAGAACGUCGUGAGACAGUUCGGUCCCUAUCUGCCGUGGGCGUUGGAAGAUUGAAGGGGGCUGCUCCUAGUACGAGAGGACCGGAGUGGACGAACCUCUGGUGUUCGGGUUGUUACGCCAGUAGCAUUGCCCGGUAGCUAAGUUCGGAAUCGAUAACCGCUGAAAGCAUCUAAGCGGGAAGCGAGCCCUGAGAUGAGUCUUCCCUGGCACUUUAAGUGUCCUAAAGGGUUGUUCGAGACUAGAACGUUGAUAGGUUGGGUGUGUAAGCGCUGCGAGGCGUUGAGCUAACCAAUACUAAUUGCCCGUGAGGCUUAACCAU
rnacentral:rRNA from 1 species